UAGGGAAUCUUCCGCAAUGGGCGAAAGCUUGACGGAGCAACGCCGCGUGAGUGAUGAAGGUCUUCGGAUCGUAAAACUCUGUUAUUAGGGAAGAACAAAUGUGUAAGUAACUAUGCACGUCUUGACGGUACCUAAUCAGAAAGCCACGGCUAACUACGUGCCAGCAGCCGCGGUAAUACGUAGGUGGCAAGCGUUAUCCGGAAUUAUUGGGCGUAAAGCGCGCGUAGGCGGUUUUUUAAGUCUGAUGUGAAAGCCCACGGCUCAACCGUGGAGGGUCAUUGGAAACUGGAUAACUUGAGUGCAGAAGAGGAAAGUGGAAUUCCAUGUGUAGCGGUGAAAUGCGCAGAGAUAUGGAGGAACACCAGUGGCGAAGGCGACGUUCUGGUCUGUAACUGACGCUGAUGUGCGAAAGCGUGGGGAUCAAACAGG
rnacentral:rRNA from 1 species